UACGUAGGGGGCAAGCGUUGUCCGGAUUUAUUGGGCGUAAAGCGCGCGUAGGCGGCAAGGUGUGUCGUGCGUGAAAUCUCCCGGCUUAACUGGGAGGGGCCGUGCGAAACUGCCUGGCUUGAGGUCGGAAGGGGAAAGUGGAAUUCCGGGUGUAGUGGUGGAAUACGUAGAUAGUCCGGAGGAACACCAGCGGCGAAGGCGG
rnacentral:rRNA from 1 species